ACCUAAUUCCUUUCCUUGGAGACUUUGAGAACCUUCUCCAUUGUUGCCAUUUUCAUCUCUAACACCCUUUCUCAAGUUGGAGAGGGAUGAAAGUACUCCCAACUUGCCCAAUAAUCGGUGAUGAAAAGGGCCAGUAAGAGGCUUUGUGAAAAAAUCAGCGAGCUAAGAAGAGGAGCGAACAAAUGAUAGUAAAAUCAAACUUGCCAUGAACUGCUGAUGAACGAAACGAAAACCAAGCUUUGCAUGCUUUGUUCUUUCAUGAAAGACAGAGUCUUUUAGCUAUGUGAAUCGCCGCUUGGCUGUCAGAGUGAAGAGGGACCGGGAGGGAUAUUGGAAUAGAUAAAUCAUCAAAGAGUCUGACUAACCAGGUAAGCUCUGCGACUACACGCCGCAUGGAUCGAUACUCAGCUUCUGCAGAGCUUAGAGAAAUUGUGGUCUACUUCUUCAAUUUCCAAGAAAUAGGAGAAAAUCCCAGCGAAAUGUAGAAACCACUGACAGAUUUGUGCGAUUCUGAGCAUGUGCUCCAAUCGGAGUCACAGAAAGCCAGCAACUGAUACGAAGGGGAGGAAGUCAUGAAUAAACCAAGACCAAGAUCCUUUGAUGAAUAUCGAAGGACACGAAGGGCUGCUUGCAUGUGAGGAACUCUUUGAACCUGCAUAUAUUGGCUUAGAUGUUGUACAGUGAAGGAAAGAUCCGGCCUUGUAUGAGUUAAAUAGUUCAGCUUUCCCAACAAAUGGCGAUACAAGGUCGGGUCUUAGAUAGGAGCACCAGUUUUGGCCAACAAUUUGAUAAUGGGAUCAAGUGGACAAGAAACGGAUGGCUUGUGAGUACAAUAAAAUUCCAGCAACAAAUCAACACUGAAUUUCCGCUGAGUAAGAAUUAGUCCCUUAGAUUCACGCAGUACCUCCAUUCCAAGAAAAUAAUGUAAGUUCCCUAAAUCCUUUAUUUUGAAUUCCUGAUGUAGAAAAACUUUCAAAGCAUGUAGCUCCUCUAAAUUAUUUCCUGUCAAGAGUAUAUCAUCGACAUAGACUGCCACUAUAGAGAAAGAGGAGUCAGACCUUUUAAAGAAUAGGAAAUAAUCAUUGAGAUAAUGGGAGAAACCUUUAAAAUUAAGAGUUGCUGUUAAUUUAGCAUACCACUGCCGGGAUGCUUGACGAAGCCCAUAUAGUGACUUAUUUUACUUGCAAACGUGUGUAGGAGGAGGAGGAGAGAAACCAAUUGGAAACUUCAUGUACACCUCUUCAUUCAAAUCCCCAUGCAGAAAUGUAUUAUUCACAUCUAACUAAAAAAUUCCCAACCUUUCUUAACUGCUGUAUCUAGAAUGCAUUUGAUGGUGGUCAUUUUUACCACUGGGGAAAAUGUUUCAUUGAAGUCUAUCCCUUCUUUUUGAAUAUCCCCUCUAACUACACGUCUAGCUUUGAGACUUUCCACACUUCCAUCAGAGUUAUGCUUUACUUUAUACACCCACUUGCACGGUAAUGCCUUUCUACCAGGAGGUAAUUCCAUGACCUCCAAGGUGUGAUUGAGCUCAAGUGCCUCUAUCUCUCUUUCUAUUGCUUCCUGCCAUCCUGGGUGAUGGGCUGCUUGGGUAUAACUGGUUGGUUCUUGGAUAGCGGAUAGGGAAUUUAGGAGAUUUUGUUUGGAUGUAGAUAGGUUAUUGAAUGGAAAACUAGAAGGUGUUACAGGUGACAGGAAACAAGAACCACUUACAUCAGUCAAUUGAAUAUCAUUGCAAAUGUAGUCCUUGAGGUAAGGGGGAGGGUUGUGUGGCCUUGAGAAUUUUCUAAUAAGAUUGUCCAACAUGGGUUCAGUAGCUGAAGGUGAAGCAGUAUGAAUGAGAGAGUGAGAGACAAAAGAAGAAGAUGGUGUAGGACUGGAAGGUGGAAAAUCAGGAAAGUCUUGCACAGGAUGAUCUUCAUUAGGCAGUUCUGAAUGUUCAGUAGUAGGUUGUGGUAAAUCAAGGGAGAAGGUAUGAGAACUGGACAUUAGUGAAGUAGGUAAAAACGAGUCAGUUGACCCCUUGGAUGUGAUGAGGAAAAAGGGAAGAAUUCUUCAGGAAAAAUAACAUUCCUAGAAACAAAAGGCUUUAGAGUGCUAAGAUUGAGAACCGUGUACCCAUUCUUUCCAUGUGGAUAACCUAAGAAACACAAGGCAUAGCCCUUAGUUGGAAUUUUGUUUUGUGACUUGAGAGAGUAGAAACAAAACACAGACACCCAAAACACCUCAAAUUAAAGUAACUAGGUUUGGAUUUAAAAAGAUCCUCAUAGGGUUUUUUUGUAAGAAAGAACUUUGGAAGGAAAACUAUUGUCAAGUAUGUAGCAGUUAGAACGCAAUCCCCGCAAUAAGCAAUAGGCAAUUUUGAUUGGAAGAGAAGGGCUCGAGAUGUCUCUAAAGGUGUUUAUGUUUCCUCUCCACAACCCCAUUUUGUUGUGGAGAAGCUACACAAGUAGUCUGAUGCAUAAUUCCAUGUGAAGAAAACUAAUUAGACUGCAGACUCCCACUCCCUAAUUCAAAAGCAUUGUCUGACCUUAUUGUCUUGACCUGGGUAUUGAAUUGUCUUUCCACCAUUGCUAAAAAUGACUUAAGAAUUAGGAAUGCAUUUGAUUUUGUACUUAGUAGAUAAGUCCAUGUUCCUCUACUGUAGUCAUCAAGAAUUGUAAAAAAAUAUUUGUAACCAUCAUAGUUUGGCUGCUAUAGGGAUCCCAUGGGUCUAUGUGAAUUAAUGCAAAAAAUUUCUUUGUGGAAAUAGAACUAAUGGGAAAAGGGAGUUUGGACUAUCUAGCCAUAGGAUAAACAACACAAGGCACAGAAAACUUUGAACAAGGUGAAAUAGGAAUAAUAGAUAUAUUUCUCAUGGAACAAAUUGUUUGUCAUUGAAACUCUUUCUAGAUACAAAACUACUAUUGGAAAGUAAAAAACUCUUGGGAAUGGCAGUUGUAGGCCUUGAUUGAAGAAUGUAGAGACCACUUCUCUCCUUGCCAAUCUCCAGAGGGCUCUUCAAAGAAUGGCCUGCAAAAAACAAGAAGUAGAAGUAAAAAAGAGUGGAUUACUAAGCUGCUUACAUAAUUUGUGCACAGAUAGAAGAUUGUACUUAACAGAAGGUAUAUGCAACACAUUGUGUACUACCAGAUUAGAGAAAAGAGCUACUGAUCCAUAAUGAGUUACUAAAACUUUCUGAGAAUUAGGAAGAUUGAUUAUUCUACGCUUGAAUAAAGGCUUGAGAUUAGGAAAAAAAUUCUUAUUAUAAGACAUAUGUUCUGAAGCACCACUAUCUAGUAUCCAUGAAUGACUGUUGAAUUGAAAGAAACAUGCAGGUGACUUAAAGAAUUUGGGUGUACCAGCACAGUUUGCACUUGCAGUACCAUCAGAAGUACUUCCUCUUUGCUGUCCAUCUUCAACUGUUGAAAAAAGCUGAAGUAGCUGAGUUACAUUCUCCUGGUAAGUGAUUUUCCUUCAGUGAUUCCAAAUACCUAUUCUCCUUCUUCAUUUGAUAUUAGAGCAUUGUUUGCCUGGGCUGGUCCCUAAAAUUUCCUUGGCUUUGUGAAUUUGAAAUCUGCAGGAAAACCAUGGAUCCUAUAGCACUUAUCAAUGAUAUGUCCUGGCUUCUUGCAGUAAGCACAAAUCCCUGAACUCUUCUUUGCAUCAUAGGACCCCUUCUGUCCUUUGGAAUCACCAUAUUUCUUCACAUCUGCUUGGUUUAUUACCAUGAAGGAACUAGACUCCCCUGGGUAGGCAGGUACAAUAUGAAUUUCUCUUUGUUUUUCAUCUUGUAUUACCAAAGAGUAUGCCUUACCAAUGGAAUAUAAAGGAGAUGACAACAAUAUGUUUCUCCUAACUCCUAUGAAGGUUUCAUUCAUACCUAUAAGGAAUUUCAAAAGUCUCUCAUCUUGAUGAGCAUUGAUGCUCUUUGCCUUAGCCCCACAAUCACACUCACACACACAAGUACAAAAGGUAUUGAGUGCAUCUAGCUCAUCCCAUAAUCCUUUCAUCUUAGUAAAAUAGGUUGAAACACUCGAGUUACCUUGCACCACAACACUUAGUUCUUUUUGUAGCUGAAAUAACUUGGCUCCACUUGCCUGACCAAACCAAUCUUCCAGAUCAUGCCAUAGAUCUUUUGCACUCUCUGAGUACAAGACACUCUCAGCAAUUUCUUUGGAAAGUGAGAGGAGAAGCCAAGAAAGGACCAUGUCGUUGCAUCUUGCCCAAGCUCUUUGAAGACCAGAAUUUGCGUCUGGAAUAUCUAGGGUUCCAUCAAUGAAUCCUAGGUUGUUCUUAGCGGAUAAAGCUAUGACUAAGGCACUCCUCCACCCACCAUAUCCUCUGCCAUCAAAUACUGAGGAGACCGGUUCGUUCUUGGGUAGUCUGAAGGAUGGAGGUAAUAGGGACGAGUUGAAUCAACUAAACCAAUACCACUAGAACCAGCAGAUACAUUAGUUGUUGGAAUAGGGGGAGAGGAUCUGUAAAAGAAGAAGAUGAAUUUGAAUAAUAAAGAAAUGUGGCUUAAAGCAGAUCAACACUGCUCUGAUACCAUGAAGGAAUAGGAAUAAAAUAGAUUGAGAAAAUUAUCUUUUCUGCAUUGAAUGAAUCAAUAGUGUUGUACAGAACAUUGUUUAUAUACAACAGGGAUGGAAUCUAAAAUAACUACUUAUGCUACGUGUCUCUAAUUUAUUAGCUAAGCUAUAACAAACUAAAGUGUGAUGACCCGGCCGGUCGUCUUUUUAUGCCCCGUUUCCCUAUUAACUGCUUCCUCUAAGUUCAUUUAUACUAUUUUGGUUUGUCGAGAUGUUCGGUAAUAGAAUUCGGAGUGUUUUGGGACACUUAGUCCCUAAGUGAGAGCUUAAGUGUUAAAAAUGGUCCAUAAUUAUAACGGUGUGAAGACGACCUCGAAAUGGAAAUUCAAUGGUUCCGUUAUCUCUGUUAGGUGAUUUCGGGGUUGGGAGCAUGUUUGGAAUGUAUUUUGGAUGUCCGUAGCUCAUUUAGGCUAGAAAUGCCGAAAGUUAAAAUUUUGAUGUUUCCAGUCCGAUAGUGAAUUUUUGAUUUGAGGGUUUGAACGGGAUUCUGGAAGUUUCUGUAGCACCGUCAUGUCAAUCGAACGUGUAUUGGUUAGGUUUUGAAUCGAAAGCGAGUUUUGUUAAGUUUUGAAGUUUUUAAGUUCGAAUUAUUGAUUAAUUCGAGUUUCUGGCGUUGUUGUAGGUAGCUUAAGGAUUGGGAAAAGUUUGAAUGAUGUUAUGGGAUAUGUCUGUAGGUUUGGUUGAGGUCCCGGGGGCCUCGGGUGUGUUUCGGAUGCUCAACGGAGCAUUUUUGGAGUAGAAAACAUUGCAGAAUUCUUCAGCUGUUGCAUGUCUUUUUUUCCUUCGCGAUCGCGUCCCAUUUCACGCGGCCGCAUAGGCCAAUCUGGUAGGGUCCGAAAUUCCUUAAUCGCGAUCGCAGGGAUUGGUUUGCAAUCGCGUAACUCUACCUCUCCCCUAUUCGCGUUCGCGUGCCUUCUUACGCGAUUGCGUAAGGCCAUCUCUUUCCCGUCCGCGAUCGCAUGCUCCUUCUCAUGAUCGCAUAGGGCUCUUUCCUGGAGCCUUUAUUUUGAUCUUCGCGAUCGCGUCCCUAUCUUCGCGAUUGCGAUUCACUAAAUACCUGGGUAAAUAUUAAUAUUUCAAUAACUAAGCCUUCUUCCAUUUUUACAAAAACUCAAGCUAGAGAGCUCGGUCUUGGGAGAUUUUUUGAGGGAUUUUCAGAGGCAAAUAUUGGGUAAUGAUUCCUUACUCCUCUAUGACUAAAACCCACUAAUCUAAUCGUAAUUUCAACCUUUAAUUUCGGAUUUU
rnacentral:lncRNA from 1 species